GGGGGUGUAAUUCAAUGGCAGAAUUUUGGUCUUAUAUACCAAAUGUCGUUGGUUCGAUUCCAACCACCCCUA
rnacentral:tRNA from 1 species